rnacentral:tRNA from 2 species
GUUAAAAUGGCUGAUAAAUGGUAAUAAAUUGUAAAUUUAUUUAUGUGGAUGAUUAAUUCUUCUUUUAACA